rnacentral:lncRNA from 1 species
CGGGGAAUCUGAAACACUUGGUAACGAGCAUGUGCGUCUGGCCUCGUCCGUUCGUACGUUGCUAUUCCUCAUUAGACAAAAAACAACGAGAAACAGAGAAGAGAAGUUAAGGCCUCGUCCGUUCGUACGUUGCAAUUCCUCAUUAGACAAAAAACAACGAGAAACAGAGAAGAGAAGUUAAUUGUUAUGCACAUUUUUAGUAACUGAUGAGACCGAAAUAAAGGCUAUACAUAUAUACAUUGAUGUAUGUACGUCAACGACAACCACUCAUAGUCCAUGUCUUCAGACUUCAAGUCUUAAACAAUCCU